CAGCAAAAAAAUGAAUACUCUGCUUAAAAAAAUGAUGUUUUCUUACUAUUCAGACAGCCUUUCGUACAGCGAAUAUUAAAACCUAUGGUCAAUAUGCGAACAAGGCCUUGCUAUGCCGCAACAACGCUAACGUCCCUCGAAUUGCGCUUGAAAGUAAAAGCCAUCAUAAAGAAACUUCCAGACAUAAAGUCCUAUAAUUACCAACACCCCGAACGUGCCACGAGAUUGGCCCGCCCCUGUGACCAUAUAUCAUAAAACUAUGGCGAGGAGCAAGACGAGAAGAAGCAGCGAAAAAGCAAAAACGAUGAAGAGAAGACAAAGAGGAUGAUGAGGAGAAGAAGCCGCGGGACGUGCAUUUAAUUUUUAGCUGGAACCCUGAUCACAGCGCCAUUUGCGCGGCAUAAAAUCACAAUUGCGGAGUUCGACAUUGCAUUGUUCUCAGUGCAGAUCUGCUUUUCAACCGCCCCGCGGUUGCCCCCACAAAUUGGCGAUAAUGAGCAUUCUGCCGAAAAGGAAACCGAUUGAUUGCCUCCUGCGCCCGCUCCACGUGUUGCCCCUUUCCCUUCCCUCUUCCACUUCCAAUCUCGAUCCGGUUCCUCCGCCACGCCCCGUUUUCGGCUAGCAGCUUCGCAUAAUUUCCAGUAUUCUAUUUCUAUUUCUAUUUCUAUUUCCAGUAAUCAUGAAUUCCCCACUUCGUACUAACAAUUCAUUUUGAUCCUUGUGGCGCCCUGGGGAUUGCGUGCAUUCAAGUCAUACUUUUCGCUGCCGCUUCUGUUUCCGACCCGUGUUUGCCGCUUUUUAACUGCCCAGAUU
ensembl:ncRNA lncRNA:CR44966 long non-coding RNA:CR44966